AACCUCACCGGGACUCUGAAGCUGCACAGCUUUCUGGUAGCUUAAUUCAAAGUUGUGAGACAUGGACGGCUUCCUUGCCAAGCACCUCGCUAUGGGGCUUGCUAGUGCACUCGUCGCGCUGAUCAUUGCCCCCUACAGCGCUGAAGCGGUUCCUCCGGGCGUAAUCGAAGCUGCAGCAGAGGCGCUUGGAAACUUUUUUGGAAGGAACGAGGAAAAGUCCGAGGAGUAAGGUGUUCGUCAACGUAUAACCAUGUGGUC